UUCCUCUUCUGUGGAGUCUUUCCUGCAAACCUAGAUCCUUGGGUACAGGAACACACUGUGAAUACUCUUGGCAGGUUUGCAGAGCUAGGACCUGCAACACCUGCCUAGAGGAACCUCUCAGCAACCCUCAUGUGGAUGCCCUUGGCUGGUGUUGUGGAAUCUGAAAUGCCUGGCUUGGGGGCAAGCAGGUGGUGGUGGCAGCUGAAAGGACGCAAAAGAGGAUGGAGAGGGCAGAGGUGAAGGAGAAGCUGAUUGCGAUACACAGCCAAAGAGCCAAUUGAGACUCCAUUAUCUGCUGCUCAUGAUUUUAACCCUUCAGACUGAAAUUGUCCAUGUCUGGGUCCCGGGCUUACUGUUUUCUGAGGAAAGCUGCAGGUGGGGGGAGGUGCUUGGAAUGAGAAGACCAGUGCAGUCAAAUAGAACAAAACGAGGAGGCACCACUGUUUUAUCGCAAUACUGCUUUGUGUAA